AGGGCCAUAGCUCAGUGGUAGAGUGUCCACCUUGGACGUGGAAGGUCCCAGGUUCAAUCCCUGGUGUCUCUA